AAGAUACACGAAGAACCUUACAGGUCUUGACAUACCAUUGACAGGCACAGAGAUGUGCUCUCCUUCGGGCAAUGGAUACAGGUGGUGCAUGGUUGUCGUCAGCUCGUGCCGUGAGGUGUUGGGUUAAGUCCCGCAACGAGCGCAACCCUCAUUGUUAGUUACUACCAUUCAGUUGAGGACUCUAAUGAGACUGCCAACGACAAGUUGGAGGAAGGUGGGGAUGACGUCAAGUCAUCAUGCCCUUCAUGACCUGGGCUACAAACGUACUACAAUGGCCAAUACAAAGAGAUGGGAAGCGGUGACGUGAAGCGAACCUCAGAAAGUUGGUCUCAGUUCAGAUUGAAGUCUGCAACUCGACUUCAUGAAGGCGGAAUCGCUAGUAAUCGCGGGUCAGCAGACCGCGGUGAAUACGUUCCCGGGUUUU
rnacentral:rRNA from 1 species